UUCAGUCUACCAAUUUAUUAGCUGUGUGACCUUGGGAGGAUCAUGUAACUCUUUUGAGGCUUGGUUUCUUCAACUAUAAAGUAAACAAUUUUCAGGCUUAUUGUGAUAAUUCAAUGAGAUCAUCUAUUUAAGCUGUAGGUAUUUAAUGAUUUAUUAUUAUUAUCAUUAUUAUUAUCAGAAUUUUGAGGGGGAGCCAAUAAAGAACACAUUUCUUCCCUGCCUAAGGGUGAAACCAACUGAGAAAUGAACGUAGAAGUCAUACAGAUGGACUUUGAAUUACUAAUAACAGCUGGGCUGAAGAUAUAACUAGGUAUGGGUCACAAUAGGCUUGCUAGAUUCUCUCUGGAUAAAGUCGACCCCUCUAGUCACUGACACAGCUGUAUAGGGACAGGCUUCUUUCCUCAUGAAAAAGGAUACACCAGACCAUCCUCUCCCACUAAGCAGGGCUGCUACAAGAGCGAGCCGAGAUGAUCUGUGUCAUGAAUUCCCAGACAUUUCUAGAUGUACCUAUUAUUGCCUGUCCUGGAAGGAGGGAACAAGAAGGUUAAGAGAGACUGGAAGUCCCUCCAUAUGGAAAUUUAAGAUGAAGGGGCACUGAGAUUUCUUCCAAAGUAUUAUAAAUUUGAUGGAUAUAAUUUUAGAGAAUUGAUUUUUAAUAGUUAAAAGUUGAAUAUUAUAAUACCUGUAUUUUAUAUGUGAAUGUAAAUAUAUGUGUCUAUAUUGUGUGUGUAUGUAUAUAUAUCCUCAAUCCUUUUUCUUUGAUACUUUUCCUACUGUGGUAAAUUGAACUAUUUUUCUCAGUUGUUACCUUCCUCCCACUAAAGAGUUUUUGCAUGCUUUCUCUUUGCCACAAUUUUCUCAGUAUCUUCUCUAUAGGUGAAGUAUACCUUCCCUGCCCCAUCAACUUUGGCCAUGGUCUUGUGACAUGCUUUGGCUAGUGGAAUACAUGUGGAUAUUAGUUAAGCCAUGUCUGAGCAGAAGCUUUAAAUGAGCUUGUGUGAUUUGUCUCCAUCUAUCCUUGACCAUCUGUCUUUCACUGUAAGAACACCAAGUCCUAUGUCUGGCUGCUUCCUCAGUCUGGAUUCCAAGAUGAAUGGACACACAGAGCUGGCCCGAUGGACCCAGCUCAGCCUAGAAUGGAUUCACCGCCUUCUUCUAGAGGUUUACUCCUUUGACAACACCAACCCAGAUAACCUCACCAUCUUAUAGAAAAGCCAUAUGUAUAUUCACCUUAGCUGAUUUCAAGAGCCCACAUUUAAAAGAAAUUACUUGGGAAGUCUUGCCUUUGUAACUUCAAAGACCAGGAUGCUGGUUUAUAUUUGUCUGCAGGAAUAGUGGAAAGGUAAUAAAGCCUCUGAAAUGACUGCACUUGGCAAGAGGGUCUCUUGUGUCAUUUACAGCAGGGGAGAACUCACAGAAUAAAUUCAGUGACUGGAGAAGAGGACAUCUCUAGAGAUAACUGGAAAGGAGAGGAGGAAGGGAUAAGGAGACCUCGUAACCUGUAAGUACCCUGGAUAUUAUCUUCCCAACCUGUCUCUGAACAGGUGACUGCCAUCUUCUUGAGUGUUGGCAUUUGAAGGAAUAACAUUUAAAAAAAACAACAACAAGAAUUUCCCAGAAGGAUUAUAUCCAAAUGUCAUGUUUGAGUUGCAGUAGAAUAUAAUUUCUGGAAGCAUGGCCUUUGUGUGUGUUUGUGUUUGUUAAAAAUGUUCCUGCCGGCAUAAGUUAGAAGGCAAAAAUUAAAACAGUUUAUGGUAUUCAUUACAUGGUCAUCCAAGUUUUCUUUAUUCACAAAAAUAUUUACUUACUGUUCCUGAACUACCAUGUAGUAUUUUAAUAAACAUCACCACAUUGCA